UACGGGGGGUGCAAGCGUUGUUCGGAAUUAUUGGGCGUAAAGAGCGUGUAGGCUGCCUGAUGUGUCAGAUGUGAAAGCCCUGGGCUUAACCCAGGAAGUGCAUUUGAAACUGUCAGGCUUGAGUAGGGGAGGGGGAAGCGGAAUUCCUGGUGUAGAGGUGAAAUUCGUAGAUAUCAGGAGGAACACCGGUGGCGAAGGCGGCUUCCUGGCCCUAUACUGACGCUGAGACGCGAGAGCGUGGGUAGCAAACAGGAUUAGAUACCCUGGUAGUCCACGCUGUAAACGAUGUUCACUGGGUGUUGGGGGUAUUGACCCCCUCAGUGCCGGAGCUAACGCGUUAAGUGAACCGCCUGGGGAGUACGGUCGCAAGACUAAA
rnacentral:rRNA from 1 species